rnacentral:rRNA from 1 species
UGGGGAAUUUUGGACAAUGGGCGAAAGCCUGAUCCAGCCAUGCCGCGUGCAGGAUGAAGGCCUUCGGGUUGUAAACUGCUUUUGUACGGAACGAAAAGACUCCUUCUAAUAAAGGGGGUCCAUGACGGUACCGUAAGAAUAAGCACCGGCUAACUACGUGCCAGCAGCCGCGGUAAUACGUAGGGUGCAAGCGUUAAUCGGAAUUACUGGGCGUAAAGCGUGCGCAGGCGGUUAUAUAAGACAGAUGUGAAAUCCCCGGGCUCAACCUGGGAACUGCAUUUGUGACUGUAUAGCUAGAGUACGGUAGAGGGGGAUGGAAUUCCGCGUGUAGCAGUGAAAUGCGUAGAUAUGCGGAGGAACACCGAUGGCGAAGGCAAUCCCCUGGACCUGUACUGACGCUCAUGCACGAAAGCGUGGGGAGCAAACAGGAUUAGAUACCCACGUAGUCCCUGAGCGGGCUGGCAAGGCGCAU